UACGAAGGGGGCUAGCGUUGCUCGGAAUUACUGGGCGUAAAGCGCACGUAGGCGGCUUCUAAGUCGGGGGGGUGAAUCCUGAGCUCAACUCCAGAACUGCCUCGAUACUGGAGAGCUCGAGUCCGGGAGAGGUGAGUGGAACUGCGAGUGUAGAGGUGAAAUUCGUAGAUAUUCGCAAGAACACCAGUGGCGAAGCGGCUCUCUGGUACGUGACUGACGCUGAGACG
rnacentral:rRNA from 1 species